rnacentral:lncRNA from 1 species
AGGGAGAAGGUGCUUCCCUCGCCCGGCGCUGGCUCUCCGCCCGGCUUGCCGUUGCUCACGCAGGUUUUGGAUAAAUUGAAAAACAUACCUUUGGACAAGGUGAGGUAGACAUGAUUGCAUUGUCUUGUGCGAAUGUAAACUAACAGUACAAAAGCCCUGCAUAAAACAGAAGUGAAAUCUUUCAAGGAUGAGAGGCCAAUGUUGAUGAGGUACAGUCAUCUGUGAAAACAGAGUGAAAAAAGUCGGCUCACAGCGAAAUGAUACGCCCCUGCCUUGGACAGAAGGCAGUAACAUCUCAUGAUCAACUGUCAUCACCACCACAUGCUACAGCCGAUGAAGGCACAAAGAAAAGAGAGAGAUGUUCUUCCUGCAACAUUGCCCAGUGAUUGCACCUAUCUUCUCCAAAGCAAGCAAAGAAUAUUUAAUGUACUGUUACAACAAGCAAGCGUGCCUUACGUCACUGUGGAAUGGCUGUGACUCUUCAUGAGGAAAGACAAAUAUCGUCAGAAGGUGCCAUAUAGAUACUACCAACAGAGGACCAGCCGCAGCCUUGGUUGGUUCAUUGUUCCCCAGUUCCCUGUGUACAGAGCAAAAUCACCACCACUUCAAUACUACGUGCCUUGUCACAAUACAGUGUCUUUAAACAACAGUGUUACUGCAGCAAGAUAUCACAUAGACACUUUUUCCUACAAGACAAAAGGAACUGGAUGA